UACGUAGGGUGCGAGCGUUAAUCGGAAUUACUGGGCGUAAAGCGUGCGCAGGCGGUGAUGUAAGACAGAUGUGAAAUCCCCGGGCUCAACCUGGGACCUGCAUUUGUGACUGCAUCGCUGGAGUGCGGCAGAGGGGGGUAGAAUUCCACGUGUAGCAGUGAAAUGCGUAGAGAUGUGGAGGAACACCGAUGGCGAAGGCAGCCCCCUGGGUCAAGACUGACGCUCAUGCACGAAAGCGUGGGGAGCAAACAGG
rnacentral:rRNA from 1 species